rnacentral:tRNA from 1 species
UCCCUUGUAGUUCAAUUGGUAGAACAAGCGACUGUUAAUCGCUAGGUUCCUGGUUCGAGCCCAGGCGGGGGAG